GGAUUGCUGAGAAUCAAACACUCUCAGACACAGAGAAAUGAUAGAAAAUCUCCCCAGAUAAUCCAUCCUUGGGAUGCUGCUGCUUCCAGGAUCCACCUACAGUGCCACUUUGCCUAACUCUCCUCUCUUCCCCUGGGUCAGCUGUGCCUUAGGCUCACAGGGGCUCUCAGCAGCAUGGAACUCACCCUGGUCGAGGCCACUGUGGACUUGAUUAUCUAUGGGCAGGAUUUUGCCUUGAAUGCGUAGGCUUCCAGGAAGGGACCGGCCUCUGCUGACCUGAACCAUUUCCUGCUGUUCAAUCCACUCCCUGCCCAGCUUAUGAGGGCUCACAAAAGGAUGUCCCAUGUUCUGGAAAAUGACAUGGCUGCUGUUUGAACACCAAGGCAGCAUUCUCUCUGAGAGAACUGCUCCCCAUCCUUUCCCAUUAGGCAUUUGUUAUAUUCCAUAUUCCUCACCAAAUAAAAUUGCUCUUC